UACGUAGGGUGCAAGCGUUAAUCGGAAUUACUGGGCGUAAAGCGUGCGCAGGCGGUUUUGUAAGUUUGUCGUGAAAUCCCCGGGCUCAACCUGGGAAUGGCGAUGAAGACUGCAAGGCUAGAAUCUGGCAGAGGGGGGUGGAAUGCCGCGUGUAGCAGUGAAAUGCGUAGAGAUGCGGCGGAACACCGAUGGCGAAGGCAGCCCCCUGGGCUGAGAUUGACGCUCAGGCACGAAAGCGUGGGGAGCAAACAGG
rnacentral:rRNA from 1 species